GGGGCUAUAGUGACAACUGGUAGAACGGAACCAUGGCAUGGUUUUGAUCUGGGUUCGACUCCCAGUAGCUCCA
rnacentral:tRNA from 1 species